AGAACUUAGCAGAGAUGCUUUGGUGCCUUCGGGAACUCUGAGACAGGUGCUGCAUGGCUGUCGUCAGCUCGUGUUGUGAAAUGUUGGGUUAAGUCCCGCAACGAGCGCAACCCUUAUCCUUUGUUGCCAGCGGUCCGGCCGGGAACUCAAAGGAGACUGCCAGUGAUAAACUGGAGGAAGGUGGGGAUGACGUCAAGUCAUCAUGGCCCUUACGAGUAGGGCUACACACGUGCUACAAUGGCGCAUACAAAGAGAAGCGACCUCGCGAGAGCAAGCGGACCUCAUAAAGUGCGUCGUAGUCCGGAUUGGAGUCUGCAACUCGACUCCAUGAAGUCGGAAUCGCUAGUAAUCGUGGAUCAGAAUGCCACGGCGAAUACGUUCCCGGGCCUUGUACACACCGCCCGUCACACCAUGGGAGUGGGUUGCAAAAGAAGUAGGUAGCUUAACCUUCGGGAGGGCGCUUACCACUUUGUGAUUCAUGACUGGGGUGAAGUCGUAACAAGGUAGGCGUAGUGCU
rnacentral:rRNA from 1 species